rnacentral:lncRNA from 1 species
AAUGGUUAACAUAAUGAAUGUUAAAAUUAUUUUCAUAUUGAAUUUAUAUAUAAUAAUUAUGUGUUGCAGAUCUGGGCGUAUGAAACCGUCCCCAUAUUGGGUGCUCGCUUUGCGAGGCGAGGGGAGAUACGCUACCCUUGGUGCACCAUUGGAGAGCAUCUCAAUUGGAGGGAUGUCUACUGGGAAAUAGUUAUCGACUAUCCUCGACGACCCUCAGGUGAGUAUUAUGCAUUUAUAAUUUAUAUUGUGCGUGAUUUAACAUCUGAUUGCAUGAUCGUUAACUAGUUCUAAUGUUAAUAUGUCAGCUUGAAAUCAUAACUGAGUUGACGCCGUCGAUGGAGUAAGAGGUUCAGGAUCUUAUGCAUGAAUUAGGCGUUUCGCAUACCUAAGAAGAGCAGAUGUCUGAUCUGAUCCACGACUGAGAUUGGGUGAGCGAAUUGAAUAAAAUUUAUUGAUUACCGUUUUGUAUGAGUUAGCAAUUACAGAUUAAGUUAAUAAUUUGUAAUGUUGUUACUUGUGUAGGAGCGUAAUCCAGUUGAUCGACGAUCACCUUUGUCGAGGGCAUCACUACCUCCGCUGAGGAUUUCUCCUCCUCCACCGGGGAUGCCGCCGAGGGUAUCUCCUCCGCCACCCCCAUCCAGAGACCUUUUCCGUAGAUCUCCCACACAUAGUCAGGGGCACUAUUUUUGCUGAUCUGUAUCCCGUCUGAGCAGAUUUAUAGCUGGACAGGUCGACGGUCUGCAUCGAGAGAUGAUAGAGAGGGUUGAUGAUCUGUGACAACAGUUGGUAGAAAGGGUAGAAGAUUUGUCGAAUGAGAUUGCAGCACUUCGAGGUGAUAUAGCCGGUAGGCAAUGGGUUGAUGGAGACGGUGAUCGAGAGGGUGAUAGAGAUGGGGAUCUCCGUUUUGAAGAACCAAUGCAUCGACAAAUCAUUCUCGUUAUCAACUAUGCCGAAUGCAAGAGGGUAAAUUUUGAUAUUGGCAUCUUGACAUGUAACAAUAAUCAACUUGCCUUGGUAUUUGGAUUUCAAAGUUGUACUGUCGACCAGAAUUAGAGGUCGCAUAGCAUUUCGAAAUCCCCGAAUGCAUUGUCUAAAAGCCAUAAAGAAGAAUUUAAAGCAGUUCUCGACCUCCGUCUCAAUAAAAAAUAUCGAGUCAAGAUUAGUUUUCUCCAUGUUAUGGCAAUACCUGACCAAUUUAGCAUAGCUUUCUUAUAUCGAGC